UACGUAGGGUGCAGGCGUUAAUCGGAAUUACUGGGCGUAAAGCGUGCGCAGGCGGUUUGCUAAGACAGGUGUGAAAUCCCCGGGCUUAACCUGGGAACUGCGCUUGUAACUGGCAAGCUAGAGUGUGGCAGAGGGGGGUGGAAUUCCACGUGUAGCAGUGAAAUGCGUAGAGAUGUGGAGGAACACCGAUGGCGAAGGCAGCCCCCUGGGCUAACACUGACGCUCA
rnacentral:rRNA from 1 species